UGGAGUGAAAAGAGAAUUGCUCUUCAAACAUGUUGUCCCAUAUUACAAUAUAUAUGAAAAGCAAUUCUCUUUCCACUCCA